CAUUACCAACACCACACCAAGUACCCGACCAACACACACCACAUUACCAACACACACCAAGUACCCGACCAACACACACCACAUUACCAACACACACCAAGUACCCGACCAACACACACCACAUUACCAACACACACCAAGUACCCGACCAACACACACCACAUUACCAACACACACCAAGUACCCGACCAACACACACCACAUUACCAACACACACCAAGUACCCGACCAACACACACCACAUUACCAACACACACCAAGUACCCGACCAACACACACCACAUUACCAACACACACCAAGUACCCGACCAACACACACCACAUUACCAACACACACCAAGUACCCGACCAACACACACCACAUUACCAACACACACCAAGUACCCGACCAACACACACCACAUUACCAACACACACCAAGUACCCGACCAACACACACCACAUUACCAACACACACCAAGUACCCGACCAACACACACCAUUACCAACACACACAAGUACCUGACCAACACACACCACAUUACCAACACACACCAAGUACCCGACCAACACACACCACAUUACCCAACACACACCAAGUACCCGACCAACACACACCACAUUACCAACACACACCGAGUACCCGACCAACACACACCACAUUACCAACACACACCAAGUACCCGACCAACACACACCACAUUACCAACACACACCAAGUACCCGACCAACACACACCACAUUACCAACACACACCAAGUACCCGACCAACACACACCACAUUACCAACACACACCACAUUACCAACACACACCAAGUACCCGACCAACACACACCACAUUACCAACACACACCAAGUACCCGACCAACACACACCACAUUACCAACACACACCAAGUACCCGACCAACACACACCAAGUACCAGACCAACACACACCACAUUACCAACACACACCAAGUACCCGACCAACACACACCACAUUACCAACACACACCAAGUACCCGACCAACACACACCAAGUACCAGACCCAACACACACCACAUUACCAACACACACCAAGUACCCGACCAACACACACCACAUUACCCAACACACACCAAGUACCCGACCAACACACACCAUUACCAACACACACCCAAGUACCCCGACCAACACACACCACAUUACCAACACACACCAAGUACCCGACCAACACACACCACAUUACCAACACACACCAAGUACCCGACCAACACCACACCACAUUACCAACACACACCAAGUACCCGACCAACACACACCACAUUACCAACACACACCAAGUACCCGACCAACACACACACAUUACCAACACACACCAAGUACCCGACCAACACACACCACAUACCAACACACACCAAGUACCCGACCAACACACACCACAUACCAACACACACCAAGUACCCGACCAACACACACCAAGUACCAGACCAACACACACCACAUUACCAACACACACCAAGUACCCGACCAACACACACCACAUUACCAACACACACCAAGUACCCGACCAACACACACCAAGUACCAGACCAACACACACCACAUUACCAACACACACCAAGUACCCGACCAACACACACCAAGUACCAGACCAACACACACCACAUUACCAACACACACCAAGUACCCCGACCAACACACACCACAUUACCAACACACACCAAGUACCCGACCAACACACACCACAUUACCAACACACACCACAUUACCAACACACACCAAGUACCCGACCAACACACACCACAUUACCAACACACACCAAGUACCCGACCAACACACACCACAUUACCAACACACACCAAGAUAACAUGCCUCAAUGACAAAAGAAACACUUGA
ensembl:lncRNA